rnacentral:rRNA from 1 species
GACGAACGCUGGCGGCGUGCUUAACACAUGCAAGUCGAACGGAAAGGCCCCUUUGGGGUUACUCGAGUGGCGAACGGUUGUGUAAGACUGGAGUAACCUUCCCUUGACUUCGGGAUAACUUCAUUAAACUGGGGCUAAUACCGGGGAGGAAUCCUUUCUGCAUGGUGGGGGUUGGAAAGCUUCGGCGGUUUUGGAGGGACUCGCGGCUUAUCGGCGUGUUGGUGGGGUAGUGGCUUACCGUGGCUAUGACGGGUGGCCGGCCUGGGCGGGCGACCGGCCCCAUUGGGACUGAGACACGGCCCCGACUCCUACUGGUGGCAGCAGUGGGGAAUAUUGCUCAAGCGGCGGAGGCCUGAUGCAGAAACGCCGCGUGCGGGAUGACGGCCUUCGGGUUGUAAACCGCUUUCAGCAGGGGCGAAGCUUGUGGUGACGGUACCUGAAGAAGAAGCACCGGCUAACUACGUG